UAAUACGAAGGGGGCUAGCGUUGUUCGGAUUUACUGGGCGUAAAGGGCGCGUAGGCGGUGCAAUAAGUCAGGCGUGAAAGCCCCGGGCUCAACCCGGGAAUUGCGCUUGAUACUGUUGCGCUUGAAUCCAGGAGAGGAUGGCGGAAUUCCCAGUGUAGAGGUGAAAUUCGUAGAUAUUGGGAAGAACACCAGUGGCGAAGGCGGCCAUCUGGCCUGGAAUUGACGCUGAGGCGCGAAAGCGUGGGGAGCAAACAGGAUUAGAUACCCUGGUAGUCCACGCUGUAAACGAUGAGUGCUAGACGUCGGGAAGCUUGCUUUUCGGUGUCGAAGCUAACGCAUUAAGCACUCCGCCUGGGGAGUACGGCCGCAAGGUUA
rnacentral:rRNA from 1 species